CCCCGUACACAAAAAUGCACAUAUUGUGAGCUUGAUGAGUAGGGCGGGACACGUGGUAUCCUGUCUGAAUAUGGGGGGACCAUCCUCCAAGGCUAAAUACUCCUGACUGACCGAUAGUGAACCAGUACCGUGAGGGAAAGGCGAAAAGAACCCCGGCGAGGGGAGUGAAAAAGAACCUGAAACCGUGUACGUACAAGCAGUGGGAGCACGCUUAGGCGUGUGACUGCGUACCUUUUGUAUAAUGGGUCAGCGACUUAUAUUCUGUAGCAAGGUUAACCGAAUAGGGGAGCCGAAGGGAAACCGAGUCUUAACUGGGCGUUAAGUUGCAGGGUAUAGACCCGAAACCCGGUGAUCUAGCCAUGGGCAGGUUGAAGGUUGGGUAACACUAACUGGAGGACCGAACCGACUAAUGUUGAAAAAUUAGCGGAUGACUUGUGGCUGGGGGUGAAAGGCCAAUCAAACCGGGAGAUAGCUGGUUCUCCCCGAAAGCUAUUUAGGUAGCGCCUCGUGAAUUCAUCUCCGGGGGUAGAGCACUGUUUCGGCAAGGGGGUCAUCCCGACUUACCAACCCGAUGCAAACUGCGAAUACCGGAGAAUGUUAUCACGGGAGACACACGGCGGGUGCUAACGUCCGUCGUGAAGAGGGAAACAACCCAGACCGCCAGCUAAGGUCCCAAAGUCAUGGUUAAGUGGGAAACGAUGUGGGAAGGCCCAGACAGCCAGGAUGUUGGCUUAGAAGCAGCCAUCAUUUAAAGAAAGCGUAAUAGCUCACUGGUCGAGUCGGCCUGCGCGGAAGAUGUAACGGGGCUAAACCAU
rnacentral:rRNA from 1 species